rnacentral:rRNA from 1 species
CCUACGGGAGGCUGCAGUGAGGAAUAUUGGUCAAUGGACGAGAGUCUGAACCAGCCAAGUAGCGUGAAGGAUGACUGCCCUAUGGGUUGUAAACUUCUUUUAUAUGGGAAUAAAACGUUCCACGUGUGGGAUUUUGUAUGUACCAUAUGAAUAAGGAUCGGCUAACUCCGUGCCAGCAGCCGCGGUAAUACGGAGGAUCAGAGCGUUAUCCGGAUUUAUUGGGUUUAAAGGGAGCGUAGGUGGAUUGUUAAGUCAGUUGUGAAAGUUUGCGGCUAAACCGUAAAAUUGCAGUUGAUACUGGCAGUCUUGAGUACAGUAGAGGUGGGCGGAAUUCGUGGUGUAGCGGUGAAAUGCUGAGAUAUCACGAAGAACUCCGAUUGCGAAGGCAGUUCACUGGACUGCAACUGACACUGAGGCUCGAAAGUGUGGGUAUCAAACAGGAUUAGAUACCCGGGUAGUC